AUUGAACGCUGGCGGGAUGCUUUACACAUGCAAGUCGAGCGGCAGCGCGGCCUUCGGGCUGGCGGCGAGCGGCGAACGGGUGAGUAAUGCAUCGGAACAUGCCCAGUCGUGGGGGAUAACACUUCGAAAGAAGUGCUAAUACCGCAUACGUCCUGAGGGGGAAAGCGGGGGAUCGCAAGACCUCGCGCGAUUGGAGUGGCCGAUGUCAGAUUAGCUAGUUGGUGGGGUAAAGGCCUACCAAGGCGACGAUCUGUAGCUGGUCUGAGAGGAUGAUCAGCCACACUGGGACUGAGACACGGCCCAGACUCCUACGGGAGGCAGCAGUGGGGAAUUUUGGACAAUGGGGGCAACCCUGAUCCAGCCAUUCCGCGUGAGUGAAGAAGGCCUUCGGGUUGUAAAGCUCUUUCGGCAGGAACGAAACGGUGGGCUCUAACAUAGUCCGCUAAUGACGGUACCUGAAGAAGAAGCACCGGCUAACUACGUG
rnacentral:rRNA from 1 species